UACGUAGGGUGCAAGCGUUGUCCGGAAUCACUGGGCGUAAAGGGCGCGUAGGCGGCUCAUGAAGGCUGUGGUGAAAGUCCGGGGCUCAACCUCGGAUCGGCCGUGGCGACUCGUGGGCUGGAGCACUGUAGAGGCGGGUGGAAUUUCGGGUGUAGCGGUGGAAUGCGUAGAGAUCCGGAAGAACACCGGUGGCGAAGGCGGCCUGCUGGGCAGUGGCUGACGCUGAGGCGCGAAAGCGAGGGGAGCAAACAGG
rnacentral:rRNA from 1 species